AACGGGUGAGUAACACGUAAAGAACCUGCCUCAUAGACGGGGACAACUAUUGGAAACGAUAGCUAAUACCGGAUAACAACAUAAAUCGCAUGAUAAAUGUUUAAAAGUUGGUUUCGGCUAACACUAUGAGAUGGCUUUGCGGUGCAUUAGCUAGUUGGUGGGGUAAAGGCCUACCAAGGCGACGAUGCAUAGCCGACCUGAGAGGGUGAUCGGCCACACUGGGACUGAGACACGGCCCAGACUCCUACGGGAGGCAGCAUG
rnacentral:rRNA from 1 species